CAAAGGUUGAGGGGUCGAUUAGAGGGGUGAGUUCCACCAAAGCGGGAGAGUGGCGGAGAUGCAUAUGGGCUUUGUGUUAGGAAGACUAUUCACCUUAAGGAGAGUUUGGAACGACUUGGGAAUUUUAGUGAUUGAUGAUUGGGGUCUACGGAUCUAACUUGAAGUAUGGGCUAUUAUACGGCAGGAUAUUUGAUAUAGCAGAAAGGAGCUACUUGAAAUGAAGAAGGAUACAACAUAACUUUGAAUUAGAAGGACAUUGCCACACAUUUAAUUGAUGUUCAUGGGGGGGGGGUGAAUGGACUUGUGCAACUAGAGAGUGAGGUCGGACUUCGGAUGGGUUAUUAAUGUCGUAGUGAUUGUACCCCGUGCAUAAGCGUUGGAAGAUGUCGGCACGUAAAUUCCACAAGCGGGUUAUCUCCAGUGAGAUCCGCAAUCACAUGUUUGGCGAAGCUUCUACGAAGAAUUCUAUUGGUUAUACAGCAAAGAGACCGUGCGAAUGUGGUUGAUGAUUAAGAGUAUAAAAUAGUGGCAUACAAAAAAAUUCUGAGAAUUAUGGUGGUUGAUUGCGCAAGGUUAUGUCAAUAAGAGAUAAAGAAUCGUGAUGAAUAUUAGAGUUGUGUAAUACUGGCUUCAAGAUAAGUGGUAAUUUGAAAAAAAGGAAUUGUUAAUGGUAUGCUAUGGUUGGACUUAUUGGCUCAUGUUAAGACUUGGGGAAGGAUUCAGGAUUUAUGCCUUGUAUAAAUGCGGAUUUCAAGGGAAAUGAUUCUACCUGGUGCUUCAUCGAGAGGGUAUUCAUGUUCUAGAAGAUUCGUGGAGUUGAUUAUAUUCGGGGCCAAGUCAGAGCGGGUGGCUCUCAACAACGGUCUUAGUGGAUUCAAAGGGGGAAAAGUGUGGUGCCUAAUGAUUGCAGCCUAUAAGUACGGUUAAGGAUCAAGAUUUGUACCAACUUAUGAGAAGAGGCACAUAUUGUUCUAUGAUGUUUUGACUUGCAGUGUAGCAUUUAGGAGGUGUGAAAUGGUUCGUGGGAUUUGAGACAACAGGGUCUCUUGAUUCAAGUUCACUAGGGAUGAGUGCGGAGGGAGUGUGAUAUGUGUUAAAUGGAG
rnacentral:lncRNA from 1 species